AAAAAUUUAGAUCGGCAUGUUUUAUGGCACAUUAACUCUCAUGCCCUUGGUAUCUGCUGCAGAAAGACAAAGUACAUGUAGGAUACAAGGUCAAGGACCACCAAUCAAAAUAAAAAUAAAAUAAAAAGCUUCAGCUCUUCAUAGCCAUAACUUUUUUCUUGUUCAAGAGGACAUUCAACUUCAAUUUUUGAAUGUGGCACUGGUAAUCUAUGUAAUAACAGUUGGUGCAGAUCGCCCUGUGAACUCCUGCAUCUUAGAAAGUUUGAGAGCAACCUCAACAAGAGGAGCAAGUGCUUCUUGAGAAUCUCUUCCUGUUUU
rnacentral:misc_RNA from 1 species